rnacentral:rRNA from 1 species
UACGUAGGGUGCGAGCGUUAAUCGGAAUUACUGGGCGUAAAGAGUGCGUAGGCGGUCCCGCAAGUCCGCUGUGAAAGCCCCGGGCUUAACCUGGGAAUGGCAGUGGAAACUAUGGGACUUGAAUCUGGCAGAGGGGGGUGGAAUGCCACGUGUAGCAGUGAAAUGCGUAGAGAUGUGGCGGAACACCGAUGGCGAAGGCGGCUCACUGGCCCGAUACUGACGCUGAGGCACGAAAGCGUGGGGAGCAAACAGG